GGGUGACUGCGUACCUUUUGUAUAAUGGGUCAGCGACUUAUAUUCUGUAGCAAGGUUAACCGUAUAGGGGAGCCGCAGGGAAACCGAGUCUUAACUGGGCGUUAAGUUGCAGGGUAUAGACCCGAAACCCGGUGAUCUAGCCAUGGGCAGGUUGAAGGUUGGGUAACACUAACUGGAGGACCGAACCGACUAAUGUUGAAAAAUUAGCGGAUGACUUGUGGCUGGGGGUGAAAGGCCAAUCAAACCGGGAGAUAGCUGGUUCUCCCCGAAAGCUAUUUAGGUAGCGCCUCGUGAACUCAUCUUCGGGGGUAGAGCACUGUUUCGGCUAGGGGGUCAUCCCGACUUACCAACCCGAUGCAAACUACGAAUACCGAAGAAUGUUAUCACGGGAGACACACGGCGGGUGCUAACGUCCGUCGUGAAGAGGGAAACAACCCAGACCGCCAGCUAAGGUCCCAAAGUCAUGGUUAAGUGGGAAACGAUGUGGGAAGGCCCAGACAGCCAGGAUGUUGGCUUAGAAGCAGCCAUCAUUUAAAGAAAGCGUAAUAGCUCACUGGUCGAGUCGGCCUGCGCGGAAGAUGUAACGGGGCUAAACCAUGCACCGAAGCUGCGGCAGCGACACUAUGUGUUGUUGGGUAGGGGAGCGUUCUGUAAGCCGUUGAAGGUGGCCUGUGAGGGUUGCUGGAGGUAUCAGAAGUGCGAAUGCUGACAUAAGUAACGAUAAUGCGGGUGAAAAACCCGCACGCCGGAAGACCAAGGGUUCCUGUCCAACGUUAAUCGGGGCAGGGUGAGUCGACCCCUAAGGCGAGGCCGAAAGGCGUAGUCGAUGGGAAACAGGUUAAUAUUCCUGUACUCGGUGUUACUGCGAAGGGGGGACGGAGAAGGCUAUGUUGGCCGGGCGACGGUUGUCCCGGUUUAAGCAUGUAGGCGGAUGUUCCAGGUAAAUCCGGAACGUUAUUAACGCUGAGGUGUGAUGACGAGGCACUACGGUGCUGAAGUGACAAAUGCCCUGCUUCCAGGAAAAGCCUCUAAGCAUCAGGUAACAUCAAAUCGUACCCCAAACCGACACAGGUGGUCAGGUAGAGAAUACCAAGGCGCUUGAGAGAACUCGGGUGAAGGAACUAGGCAAAAUGGUGCCGUAACUUCGGGAGAAGGCACGCUGAUGGUAGGUGAAGCGACUUGCUCGUGGAGCUGAAAUCAGUCGAAGAUACCAGCUGGCUGCAACUGUUUAUUAAAAACACAGCACUGUGCAAACACGAAAGUGGACGUAUACGGUGUGACGCCUGCCCGGUGCCGGAAGGUUAAUUGAUGGGGUUAUCCUCGCGGAGAAGCUCUUGAUCGAAGCCCCGGUAAACGGCGGCCGUAACUAUAACGGUCCUAAGGUAGCGAAAUUCCUUGUCGGGUAAGUUCCGACCUGCACGAAUGGCGUAAUGAUGGCCAGGCUGUCUCCACCCGAGACUCAGUGAAAUUGAACUCGCUGUGAAGAUGCAGUGUACCCGCGGCAAGACGGAAAGACCCCGUGAACCUUUACUAUAGCUUGACACUGAACACUGGUCCUUGAUGUGUAGGAUAGGUGGGAGGCUUUGAAGUGUGGACGCCAGUCUGCAUGGAGCCAUCCUUGAAAUACCACCCUUUAAUGGCUGGUGUUCUAACGUGGGCCCCUAAUCGGGGUUGCGGACAGUGUCUGGUGGGUAGUUUGACUGGGGCGGUCUCCUCCUAAAGAGUAACGGAGGAGCACGAAGGUCAGCUAAUCCUGGUCGGACAUCAGGAGGUUAGUGCAAUGGCAUAAGCUGGCUUGACUGCGAGCGUGACGGCGCGAGCAGGUGCGAAAGCAGGUCAUAGUGAUCCGGUGGUUCUGAAUGGAAGGGCCAUCGCUCAACGGAUAAAAGGUACUCCGGGGAUAACAGGCUGAUACCGCCCAAGAGUUCAUAUCGACGGCGGUGUUUGGCACCUCGAUGUCGGCUCAUCACAUCCUGGGGCUGAAGUAGGUCCCAAGGGUAUGGCUGUUCGCCAUUUAAAGUGGUACGCGAGCUGGGUUUAGAACGUCGUGAGACAGUUCGGUCCCUAUCUGCCGUGGGCGCUGGAGAAUUGAGGGGGGCUGCUCCUAGUACGAGAGGACCGGAGUGGACGCAUCACUGGUGUUCGGGUUGUCAUGCCAAUGGCAUUGCCCGGUAGCUAAAUGCGGAAGAGAUAAGUGCUGAAAGCAUCUAAGCACGAAACUUGCCCCGAGAUGAGUUCUCCCUGACUCCUUGAGAGUCCUGAAGGAACGUUGAAGACGACGACGUUGAUAGGCCGGGUGUGUAAGCGCAGCGAUGCGUUGAGCUAACCGGUACUAAUGAACCGUGAGGCUUAACCUUACAACGCCGAAG
rnacentral:rRNA from 1 species